UGGGGAAUAUUGCACAAUGGGCGCAAGCCUGAUGCAGCAACGCCGCGUGAGGGACGACGGCCUUCGGGUUGUAAACCUCUUUUGGCAGGGAAGAAGCGAAAGUGACGGUACCUGCAGAAAAAGCACCGGCUAACUACGUGCCAGCAGCCGCGGUAAUACGGAGGGUGCAAGCGUUAUCCGGAUUCACUGGGUUUAAAGGGUGCGUAGGUGGGUAUGUAAGUCAGUGGUGAAAUCCCCGAGCUUAACUUGGGAACUGCCAUUGAUACUAUAUAUCUUGAAUACCGUAGAGGUAAGCGGAAUAUGACAUGUAGCGGUGAAAUGCUUAGAUAUGACAUGGAACACCAAUUGCGAAGGCAGCUUACUAUGCGGUGAUUGACACUGAGGCACGAAAGCGUGGGUAGCAAACA
rnacentral:rRNA from 1 species